GAUGAACGCUGGCGGCGUGCCUAAUACAUGCAAGUCGAGCGAACAGACGAGGAGCUUGCUCCUCUGACGUUAGCGGCGGACGGGUGAGUAACACGUGGAUAACCUACCUAUAAGACUGGGAUAACUUCGGGAAACCGGAGCUAAUACCGGAUAAUAUAUUGAACCGCAUGGUUCAAUAGUGAAAGACGGUUUUGCUGUCACUUAUAGAUGGAUCCGCGCCGCAUUAGCUAGUUGGUAAGGUAACGGCUUACCAAGGCAACGAUGCGUAGCCGACCUGAGAGGGUGGUCGGCCACCCGGGAGGUGAGACAGGGUCCAGACACCUGCGGGAGGCCGCAGUAGGGAAUCGUACGCAAUGGGGGAGAGCCUGACGGAGCAACGCGGCGUGAGUGAUGAAGGUCUUCGGAUCGGAAAACUCUGUUAUUAGGGAAGAACAAAUGUGUAAGUAACUGUGCACGUAUUGACGGUACCUAAUCAGAAAGCCACGGCUAACUACGUG
rnacentral:rRNA from 1 species